rnacentral:rRNA from 1 species
GGGUUGUGAGGUUAAGCGACUAAGCGUACACGGUGGAUGCCCUGGCAGUCAGAGGCGAUGAAGGACGUGCUAAUCUGCGAUAAGCGUCGGUAAGGUGAUAUGAACCGUUAUAACCGGCGAUUUCCGAAUGGGGAAACCCAGUGUGAUUCGUCACACUAUCAUUAACUGAAUCCAUAGGUUAAUGAGGCGAACCGGGGGAACUGAAACAUCUAAGUACCCCGAGGAAAAGAAAUCAACCGAGAUUCCCCCAGUAGCGGCGAGCGAACGGGGAGCAGCCCAGAGCCUGAAUCAGUGUGUGUGUUAGUGGAAGCGUCUGGAAAGGCGCGCGAUACAGGGUGACAGCCCCGUACACAAAAAUGCACAUGCUGUGAGCUCGAUGAGUAGGGCGGGACACGUGGUAUCCUGUCUGAAUAUGGGGGGACCAUCCUCCAAGGCUAAAUACUCCUGACUGACCGAUAGUGAACCAGUACCGUGAGGGAAAGGCGAAAAGAACCCCGGCGAGGGGAGUGAAAAAGAACCUGAAACCGUGUACGUACAAGCAGUGGGAGCACGCUUAGGCGUGUGACUGCGUACCUUUUGUAUAAUGGGUCAGCGACUUAUAUUCUGUAGCAAGGUUAACCGAAUAGGGGAGCCGAAGGGAAACCGAGUCUUAACUGGGCGUUAAGUUGCAGGGUAUAGACCCGAAACCCGGUGAUCUAGCCAUGGGCAGGUUGAAGGUUGGGUAACACUAACUGGAGGACCGAACCGACUAAUGUUGAAAAAUUAGCGGAUGACUUGUGGCUGGGGGUGAAAGGCCAAUCAAACCGGGAGAUAGCUGGUUCUCCCCGAAAGCUAUUUAGGUAGCGCCUCGUGAAUUCAUCUCCGGGGGUAGAGCACUGUUUCGGCAAGGGGGUCAUCCCGACUUACCAACCCGAUGCAAACUGCGAAUACCGGAGAAUGUUAUCACGGGAGACACACGGCGGGUGCUAACGUCCGUCGUGAAGAGGGAAACAACCCAGACCGCCAGCUAAGGUCCCAAAGUCAUGGUUAAGUGGGAAACGAUGUGGGAAGGCCCAGACAGCCAGGAUGUUGGCUUAGAAGCAGCCAUCAUUUAAAGAAAGCGUAAUAGCUCACUGGUCGAGUCGGCCUGCGCGGAAGAUGUAACGGGGCUAAACCAUGCACCGAAGCUGCGGCAGCGACGCUGAUGCGUUGUUGGGUAGGGGAGCGUUCUGUAAGCCUGCGAAGGUGUGCUGUGAGGCAUGCUGGAGGUAUCAGAAGUGCGAAUGCUGACAUAAGUAACGAUAAAGCGGGUGAAAAGCCCGCUCGCCGGAAGACCAAGGGUUCCUGUCCAACGUUAAUCGGGGCAGGGUGAGUCGACCCCUAAGGCGAGGCCGAAAGGCGUAGUCGAUGGGAAACAGGUUAAUAUUCCUGUACUUGGUGUUACUGCGAAGGGGGGACGGAGAAGGCUAUGUUGGCCGGGCGACGGUUGUCCCGGUUUAAGCGUGUAGGCUGGUUUUCCAGGCAAAUCCGGAAAAUCAAGGCUGAGGCGUGAUGACGAGGCACUACGGUGCUGAAGCAACAAAUGCCCUGCUUCCAGGAAAAGCCUCUAAGCAUCAGGUAACAUCAAAUCGUACCCCAAACCGACACAGGUGGUCAGGUAGAGAAUACCAAGGCGCUUGAGAGAACUCGGGUGAAGGAACUAGGCAAAAUGGUGCCGUAACUUCGGGAGAAGGCACGCUGAUAUGUAGGUGAAGUCCCUCGCGGAUGGAGCUGAAAUCAGUCGAAGAUACCAGCUGGCUGCAACUGUUUAUUAAAAACACAGCACUGUGCAAACACGAAAGUGGACGUAUACGGUGUGACGCCUGCCCGGUGCCGGAAGGUUAAUUGAUGGGGUCAGCGCAAGCGAAGCUCUUGAUCGAAGCCCCGGUAAACGGCGGCCGUAACUAUAACGGUCCUAAGGUAGCGAAAUUCCUUGUCGGGUAAGUUCCGACCUGCACGAAUGGCGUAAUGAUGGCCAGGCUGUCUCCACCCGAGACUCAGUGAAAUUGAACUCGCUGUGAAGAUGCAGUGUACCCGCGGCAAGACGGAAAGACCCCGUGAACCUUUACUAUAGCUUGACACUGAACAUUGAGCCUUGAUGUGUAGGAUAGGUGGGAGGCUUUGAAGUGUGGACGCCAGUCUGCAUGGAGCCGACCUUGAAAUACCACCCUUUAAUGUUUGAUGUUCUAACGUUGACCCGUAAUCCGGGUUGCGGACAGUGUCUGGUGGGUAGUUUGACUGGGGCGGUCUCCUCCUAAAGAGUAACGGAGGAGCACGAAGGUUGGCUAAUCCUGGUCGGACAUCAGGAGGUUAGUGCAAUGGCAUAAGCCAGCUUGACUGCGAGCGUGACGGCGCGAGCAGGUGCGAAAGCAGGUCAUAGUGAUCCGGUGGUUCUGAAUGGAAGGGCCAUCGCUCAACGGAUAAAAGGUACUCCGGGGAUAACAGGCUGAUACCGCCCAAGAGUUCAUAUCGACGGCGGUGUUUGGCACCUCGAUGUCGGCUCAUCACAUCCUGGGGCUGAAGUAGGUCCCAAGGGUAUGGCUGUUCGCCAUUUAAAGUGGUACGCGAGCUGGGUUUAGAACGUCGUGAGACAGUUCGGUCCCUAUCUGCCGUGGGCGCUGGAGAACUGAGGGGGGCUGCUCCUAGUACGAGAGGACCGGAGUGGACGCAUCACUGGUGUUCGGGUUGUCAUGCCAAUGGCACUGCCCGGUAGCUAAAUGCGGAAGAGAUAAGUGCUGAAAGCAUCUAAGCACGAAACUUGCCCCGAGAUGAGUUCUCCCUGACCCUUUAAGGGUCCUGAAGGAACGUUGAAGACGACGACGUUGAUAGGCCGGGUGUGUAAGCGCAGCGAUGCGUUGAGCUAACCGGUACUAAUGAACCGUGAGGCUUAACCUUACAACGCCGAAGCUGUU